UUGCACGCUGGCGGCAGGCCUAACACAUGCAAGUCGCGCGGAUGAAGGGAGCUUGCUCCUGGAUUCAGCGGCGGACGGGUGAGUAAUGCCUAGGAAUCUGCCUGGUAGUGGGGGAUAACGUCCGGAAACGGGCGCUAAUACCGCAUACGUCCUGAGGGAGAAAGUGGGGGAUCUUCGGACCUCACGCUAUCAGAUGAGCCUAGGUCGGAUUAGCUAGUUGGUGGGGUAAAGGCCUACCAAGGCGACGAUCCGUAACUGGUCUGAGAGGAUGAUCAGUCACACUGGAACUGAGACACGGUCCAGACUCCUACGGGAGGCAGCAGUGGGGAAUAUUGGACAAUGGGCGAAAGCCUGAUCCAGCCAUGUCGCGUGUGUGAAGAAGGUCUUCGGAUUGUAAAGCACUUUAAGUUGGGAGGAAGGGCAGUAAGUUAAUACCUUGCUGUUUUGACGUUACCAACAGAAUAAGCACCGGCUAACUUCGUG
rnacentral:rRNA from 1 species